rnacentral:lncRNA from 1 species
UAUUGCCAUCAUUAUUAUUAUCUAUACCAUAUUGUUAAUAUUGUCGCACAUUAUCGUCGUCGCCACCGCCACUAGCAAUGCCAUCACCUCCAUUUCAUUAUUGUAGUCAUCAUCAUCAUCUUUGUUAUAUCACCAUUUGAUCUGCCAGCACUACCAUCACUAACUUGAUGUCUUUAUUUUAACUCUAACCAUCUCCAUCCCUAUUAUCAUAUUUAUCUGAAAAAAAAAGAUGCCAUCUGAUCUAACGAUUGGGCCAAAAAGAGGCCCAAUUAAAGUGAAGUAUAUUUUUAAAAAUGCAGCUUCCUAGCUCUUUAUCCAGCC